GGGUGCGAUCAUACCAGCACUAAUGCACCGGAUCCCAUCAGAACUCCGAAGUUAAGCGUGAUUGGGCGAGAGUAGUUUCGGAUGCGUGACCUCCUGGGAAGUCCACGUGUUGCACCCC
rnacentral:rRNA from 1 species